rnacentral:rRNA from 1 species
CCUACGGGAGGCAGCAGUGGGGAAUAUUGGGCAAUGGGCGCAAGCCUGACCCAGCAACGCCGCGUGAAGGAAGAAGGCUUUCGGGUUGUAAACUUCUUUUAAGAGGGAAGAGAAGAAGACGGUACCUCUUGAAUAAGCGACGGCUAACUACGUGCCAGCAGCCGCGGUAAUACGUAGGUGGCAAGCGUUGUCCGGAUUUAAUGGGUGUAAAGGGCGUGCAGCCGGGCUGACAAGUCAGAUGUGAAAUCCAGCGGCUUAACCGCGGAACUGCAUUUGAAACUGUCAGUCUUGAGUACCGGAGAGGUCAGCGGAAUGCGUGGUGUAGCGGUGAAAUGCGUAGAUAUAAGGAAGAACACCGGUGGCGAAGGCGGAUGACUGGACGGCAACUGACGGUGAGGCGCGAAAGCGUGGGGAGCAAACAGGAUUAGAUACCCGGGUAGUC